rnacentral:lncRNA from 1 species
GUUGUCUGGGUCUGGUUAAGGGGGUGUUGUUGUGUUGUCUGGGUCUGGUUGAGGGGGUGUUGUUGUGCUGGACUGUUGUCCGGGUCUGGUUAAGGGGGUGUUGUUGUGCUGGACUGUUGUCCGGGUCUGGUUAAGGGGGUGUUGUUGUGCUGGAUUGUUGUCUGGGUCUGGUUAAGGGGGUGUUGUUGUGUUGUCUGGGUCUGGUUGAGGUGGUGUUGUUGUGCUGGACUGUUGUCUGGGUCUGGUUGAGGGGGUGUUGUUGUGUUGUCUGGGUCUGGUUGAGGGGGUGUUGUUGUCUGGGUCUGGUUUAGGGGGUGUUGUUGAGCUGGACUGUUGUCUGGGUCUGGUUGAGGGGGUGUUGUUGUGCUGGACUGUUGUCUGGUUAAGGGGGUGUUGUUGUGCUGGACUGUUGUCUGGGUCUGGUUAAAGGGGUGUUGUUGUGCUGGACUGUUGUCUGGGUCUGGUUAAGGGGGUGUUGUUGUGUUGUCUGGGUCUGGUUGAGGGGGUGUUGUUGUGCUGGACUGUUGUCUGGGUCUGGUUGAGGGGGUGUUGUGGUGCUGGACUGUUGUCGUGCUGGACUGCUGUCUGGGUCUGGUUGAGGGGGUGUUGUAUGCUGGACUGUUGUCUGGGUCUGGUUAAGGGGGUGUUGUGCUGUUGUCUGGGUCUGGUUAAGGGGGUGUUGUUGUGCUGGACUGUUGUCUGGGUCUGGUUGAGGGGGUGUUGUUGUGCUGGACUGUUGUCUGGGUCUGUGUUGACUGGAGUGUAAUCACCAGCUGUUCCAUCUCCACCUGCCUUACCUCCAGCUGGGGGAAUUUAUCCUUCAUUUCAAUGAGGGAGUAGUACUCUGUGCUGGGAGGUUGACUUUCCGCUGGGGGUUGCUGGUCUGUGGGGUUAUAUAAUGAAGAGGUCUUGGGGUGGCUGGUCUGUGGGGUUAUAUAAUGAAGAGGUCUGGGGGUGGCUCGUCUGUGGGGUUAUAUAAUGAAGAGGUCUUGGGGUUGCUCAUCUGUGGGGUUAUAUAAUGAAGAGGUCUGGUCUGACCCACUCUGGGUGGGGGUAUCUUUCUCAAGGGAGAGCUUCUCCUGCUGAGCUAAUUCUUUGAUUAGGUGAAAGUCCAGCUGAAACUGUUUGGGGUUGUCCUGUACCAAUACUGUUCCAGACUUAUAGAGAUUUAUAUUAGCUGACUCAGAGUCCUCGUUGUCUAGUAUCCUGAGUUUCCACCCCUCGUUAAACCCUGCCCCCGCUUAACAGAGGGGUAGUGUGCUAAUAUAGCACAGUGCCAGGGGAUGGUCUGGUUAAUAUAGCACUGUGCCAUGCCAGGGGAUGGUCUGGUUAAUAUAGCACUGUGCCAUGCCAGGGGAUGGUCUGGUUAAUAUAGUACAGUGCCAGGGGAUGGUCUGGUUAAUAUAGCACUGUGUCAUGCCAGGGGAUGGUCUGGUUAAUAUAGCACUGUGCCAGGGGAUGGUCUGGUUAAUAUAGCACUGUGCCAUGCCAGGGGAUGGUCUGGUUAAUAUAGCACUGUGCCAUGGGAUGGUCUGGUUAAUAUAGCACUGUGCCAUGCCAGGGGAUGGUCUGGUUAAUAUAGCACUGUGUCAUGCCAGGGGAUGGUCUGGUUAAUAUAGCACUGUGCCAGGGGAUGGUCUCAUUUACAACUGCCACCUGGCCAAGAUAAAGCAAAGAAGUUUGACACAUACAACAACACAGAGUUACAGACAAUAAUACAGUAGAAAAAGUCUAUAUACAGUGUGAGCAAAUGAGGUCGGAUAAGGCAAUAAACAGGCCAUGGUGGCGAAGUAAUUACAAUAUAGCAAUUUAACACUGGAAUGGUAGAUGUGCAGAAGAUGAAUGUGCAAGUAGAGAUACCGGGGUGCAAAUGAGCAAGAUAAAUAAAUAAAUACAGUAUGGGGAUGAGGUAGUUGGAUGGGCUGUUUACACAUGGGCUGUUUACCCAGCAGAGACUUGUAGAUGACCUGGAGCCAGUGGGUUUGGCGGCGAGUAUGAAGCGAGGGCCAGCCAAUGAGAGCGUACAGAUCACAGUGGUGGGUAGUGUAUGGGGCUUUGGUGACAAAACGGAUGGCAAUGUGAUAGACUGCAUCCAAUUUGUUGAGUAGAAUGUUGGAGGCUAUUUUUUAUCGCCGAAGUCGAGGAACGGUAGGAUGGUCAGUUUUACGAGGGUAUGUUUGGCAGCAUGAGUGAAGGAUGCUUUGUUGCGAAAUAGGAAGCUGAUUCUAGAUUUAAUUUUGGAUUGGAGAUGCUUAAUGUGAGUCUGGAAGGAGAGUUUACAGUCUAACCAAGACACCUAGGUAUUUGUAGUUGUCCACAUAUUCUAAGUCAGAACCGUCCAGGGUAGUGAUGCUGGACGGGUGGGCAGGUGCAGGCAGCGAUCAGUUGAAGAGCAUGGAUUUAGUUUUACUUGCAUUUAAGAGCAGUUGGAGGCCACGGAAGGAGAGUUGUAUGGCACUGAAGCUUGUCUGGAGGUUAGUUAAAACCUCUUCGCUAUAGGGGGCAGUAUUUUCACGGCCGGAUGAAAAACGUACCCAAAUUAAACGGCCUACUUCUCGGGCCCAGAGUCAAAUAUUUGCAUAUUAUUAGUAGAUUUGGAUAGAAAACACUCUGACGUUUCUAAAACUGUUUGAAUGGUGUCUGUGAGUAUAACAGAACUCAUAUGGCAGGCAAAAACCUGAGAAGAUUCCAAGCAGGAAGUGGCCUGUCUGUAAAUUUGUAGUUCUUCUUUUGGUUCUCUAUCAAAACUACAGUAUCUGAGCUGUUACGUAGCACUUUCUAAGGCUUCCAUUGGCUCUCUAAAGCCUUCAGAAAGCGGAUUGAGGCGUCUCCUGUCUCUGGGCAGAGUAUACUAGCACAGUUUGUCAGUGGUCUGCCUGGUGACAAAGAUAUAGGAUAUGCGCGGUCCUGCGACCAUGCUGUUUUUUCUUUUCCUCUUUGAACGAAUACACUACUGUCCGGUUGGAAUAUUAUCGCUAUUUUACGACAAAAAUACCAUAACAAUUUAUUUGAAACAGCGUUUGACAUGCUUCUAAGUACGGUAAAGGAACAUUUAGAUUUUUUUU